GGGACAACAUUGUGUGACAAAAUUGUGGGGAAUGUACAUUGCUUAAAAAAUAGCAAUUUUAACAAUUUUUUUGUUUAUUUAAAUGUUAUUCAUGCUGUGACUUAAUUUCUGUCAUGUAUGCAAAUGUUACUUUAAUUAAACAAUAUUUUGUUUAGAAACUUACAUUGAUACGGUUGCGCUUUAGACGCCAUCUUGUGGUCCGAUGCGAAAUGUAUUAUCAACGCGAACUCAGUGCAUUAUGGGUACUUUCUGUCCUGUGCACUUCAUAACAUCCACUAUUAUUUCAGACACCCAAAGAAAUGGCUGUCCUCUCAAAUAGUAUACUUUUUAGUUGGUAUGUGAUGCGAUUUCGGAUACAGCCAUAGAGAAAGGACCUCAUCCAUCGAUCACAGAAGGCGACAUGUUUUCAGAAACAGAUGUGUCAUUCUUGCACAACUGUCUUCCUGUGAUAAACAGCUCUUGUUUCCUCAAUACCUCGGUGACUCAUUGAAGACUGGAUUUGGACCAGAUGUGUGAACCACAAAGAUACUACAGACUUUCAGAGAGAUUAAAAAAGGCCUUUUAAUAAUGACUCAGACUGGAUGUCUGGCCUCCUGUGGGGACCGAGAGCGCACUUGUUGCCGGUUCUGUCCAGCUCUGCUCUGAUUUACUGAGCCUCUGGCCUGUGUGCAAUCCCAGACACACAAAAGAGGUGUGAUGUGUGAUCCCGCAGACGCCACCGAUGAUACUGAAGCAACAAGAGCAAAACUAAACGCAGCCAAGUAAGGUUUGAACACCAGACAACUGACGUGACACUUUUUUUUUUUUUUUUACUUAUGCAUUUUAUGCUCUCAUUUUCCUAUUAAACAAAUUAGCAGCUAUAAAACCACAAUCAGUGAAGGUGGACUGGUCAGAGUAAAUGUUGAAUUGGGAACACAUUGAGGCUUUUUGACAGUGUCAUUGAUCUGCAGUGAAUUAUGAUCUGUUUUUGUCAGUCAUAACUACAUUCAGAUUUUCACUGGUAAACAGGUUUGCAGAUGUCUGGAGGAUCUUUUAUACAAUGCAUUUCUCUCUAAAUCUAAUUUUGUUUGAAAAAGGUAAAUUGUACAUUAUUGACUUGUGUGUGUGUGUGU